GGCUAUGUGGCCUAAUGGAUAAGGCAUCUGACUUUGGAUCAGAAGAUUGAGCCCUGCUGUGGUCA
rnacentral:tRNA from 1 species